GCGCUCGUAGCUCAGCUGGAUAGAGUACCUGGCUACGAACCAGGCGGUCAGAGGUUCGAAUCCUCUCGACGCGCCA
rnacentral:tRNA from 1 species